rnacentral:rRNA from 1 species
GCUUAGGGAAGAGCUUGCGUCACAUUAGUUAGUUGGUGGGGUAAAAGCCUACCAAGACGAUGAUGUGUAGCCGGGCUGAGAGGUCAAACGGCCACAUUGGGACUGAGACACGGCCCAAACUCCUACGGGAGGCAGCAGUAAGGAAUUUUUGGCAAUGGAGGAAACUCUGACCGAGCAAUGCCGCGUGAACGAUGAAGUAUUUCGGUACGUAAAGUUCUUUUAUUAGGGAAGAAAAAAUGGUGGAAAAACCAUUAUGACGGUACCUAAUGAAUAAGCCCCGGCUAACUAUGUGCCAGCAGCCGCGGUAAUACAUAGGGGGCAAGCGUUAUCCGGAAUUAUUGGGCGUAAAGGGUGCGUAGGCGGUUAAAUAAGUUUAUGGUCUAAGUGCAAUGCUUAACGUUGUGAUGCUAUAAAAACUGUUUAGCUAGAGUUGGAUAGAGGCAAGUGGAAUUCCAUGUGUAGUGGUAAAAUGCGUAAAUAUAUGGAGGAACACCAGGAGCGAAGGCGGCUUGCUGGGUCUUAACUGACGCUGAGGCACGAAAGCGUGGGGAGCAAACAGGAUUAGAUACCCUGGUAGUCCACGCCCUAAACGAUGAGUACUAAACGUUGGGUAAAACCAGUGUUGAAGUUAACACAUUAAGUACUCCGCCUGAGUAGUACGUACGCAAGUAUGAAACUUAAAGGAAUUGACGGGACUCCGCACAAGCGGUGGAUCAUGUUGUUUAAUUCGAAGGUACCCGAAAAACCUCACCAGGUCUUGACAUGCUUUUGCAAAGUUGUAGAAAUACAGUGGAGGUUAUCAGAAGCACAGGUGGUGCAUGGUUGUCGUCAGCUCGUGUCGUGAGAUGUUGGGUUAAGUCCCGCAACGAGCGCAACCCUGUUGUUAAUUGCCAUCAUUAAGUUGGGGACUUUAGCAAGACUGCCAGUGAUAAAUUGGAGGAAGGUGGGGACGACGUCAAAUCAUCAUGCCCCUUAUGACCUGGGCUACAAACGUGAUACAAUGGCUGUUACAAAGGGUAGCUAAAGCGUAAGCUUCUGGCGAAUCUCAAAAAAGCAGUCUCAGUUCGGAUUGAAGUCUGCAACUCGACUUCAUGAAGUUGGAAUCGCUAGUAAUCGCGAAUCAGCAUGUCGCGGUGAAUACGUUCUCGGGGUUUGUACACACCGCCCGUCAAACCACGAAAGUUGGCAAUACCCAAAGCCGGUGGCCUAACUUGAGCAAUCAAGAGGGAGCCGUCUAAGGUAGGGUUGAUGAUUGGGGUUAAGUCGUAACAAGGUAUCCCUACCGGAAGGUGGGGAUGGAUCACCUCCUUUCU